AGCAAAUGCACUCUGUGUCACAUUGAUUUAUAGCCUCAUGUGAUGACAAUUUGUUAAUUUGCCAGAUCAAGGGAAUGCGUCUUAUCCAUGUAGUCAAACCCCAAUCUGGGUAAUUGCAUUGAAAACGCAUUUAACAUAAA